UACAGAGGGGGCAAGCGUUGUUCGGAAUUACUGGGCGUAAAGGGCGCGUAGGCGGCCAACUAAGUCAUACGUGAAAUCCCUCGGCUUAACCGAGGAACUGCCUGUCAAACUGCAUGGCUUGAGACCGGGAGAGGUGAGUGGAAUUCCCAGUGUAGCGGUGAAAUGCGUAGAUAUUGGGAGGAACACCAGUGGCGAAGGCGGCUCACUGGACCGGUACUGACGCUGAUGCGCGAAAGCGUGGGGAGCAAACAGG
rnacentral:rRNA from 1 species